CAAAUCACUACCACAAAAUAGGGAAUAAGUAACGCAUAAUAGAGAGCUGACAAGAUAGAUAGGCAAUCUAUAGCAUUCUAUAGAACGCCUAUGUAAGAUAAGCGCUUUGUAACAUAUGAUUUAUAUAAAAAAUAUGACUAUAGAUAUAGUUCGCCUUUCUAAGUUAGGGGCUCUAUAUGAUUUUAGAAUAAUUAAAAAAAAAGUAAAAAAAAAAAAUAGAAAUCUUACCCUAAAAUAAAAUGACCAGCAUCUUAUCUCGACGCCGCCCCCUCCUCUCCUUUCUCUCUCCUCAUUCUAUCUUCUCAACUCCAUUCCUCAUUCUUUCUCCUCUCCUCUCCAACCCCAGGAGGCCAAAUUUGUUUUUUGGUUUUAAAAUCAAGACCAACGCAUGCUUUUGUGUAUCAUUUCCCUCAAAUUUUCAAAGUUAAAUUUGAUUGCAUUCAAUCUAGAUGUGAGAAUUAUAGAUCGAAGAAAUGUGGUGGGUUUGGAUCUGGGUGUGUUCAAAUGAGUUGUUGCUGCUAUGAAACGAAUUGUGAAGUCCAUAAUGCGAUGAUACAUGAAGAUAAUCCCAUUUGUGUUCGAAUUUCAAUGUGUUUGGGACAGGUUAUCUAUUUUUGUGCGCUAUUAAUAGAUUUGGUGCGUGGUUGAGAUUGGUGUAACCAAAGCCCUGUUGGUUGGAUACUUGGAUGAUUGCGGUGGUUGAAGGCAAUUGAAGUCGAUGCAUUUCUUCAGUUGUUUUUUUUUUAGAAAAGGCAAAAUUUUAUCAUUCACAAUAAAUUAGUUAUGUGAGAAACCUUGUAAUGUAAUUUUUUUUCUCAAGUAAUUUACUUAUAUAUUAUCAUUGAAAUACUUGUAUUUUAAUUUUGUUACA